GCCUGUCGGCUGAACUGGCAACUUGGAGAAGUGGCAAGUUUUAUAAUUAUAUUUAUUUCCUUUUUAUAAAAUUUUAUUAGAAUUGAAUGAAGCUUUGUUUAUAUAUUGAUAAUGACAGUAUAUAUAUCGUGUCUUGACCAAUUACGUGCCAGCAGUCGCGGUAAUACGUAAGAGACUAGUGUUAUUCAUCUUAAUUAGGUUUAAAGGGUACCCAGACGGUCAAAAUAGCUUCUAGAAUGUUAGUAUUUGACUAGAGUUUUAUAUGAGAGGGCAGUACUUGAGGAGAAGAGAUGAAAUUUCGUGAUACCAAAGGGACUCGGUAAAGGCGAAGGCAGCACUCUAUGUAUAAACUGACGUUGAAGGACGAAGGCACAGAUAACAAACAGGAUUAGAUACCCUAAUAGUCUUUGCAGUAAAUGAUGAAUGCCAUAGGUCAGAUAUUUGGUCUAUAAAUGAAAGUGUAAGCAUUUCACCUCAAGAGUAAUGUGGCAACGCAGGAACUGAAAUCACUAGACCGUUUCUGACACCAGUAGUGAAGU
rnacentral:rRNA from 1 species